rnacentral:rRNA from 1 species
UAUUGGGCGUAAAGAGCUCGUAGGUGGCUAAGUAAGUCGGGGUGUCAAAUCCCCAGGCUCAACCUGGGUCCCCACUCGAUACUGCUUUGGCUAGAGUCCGGUAGGGGAGCGUGGAAUUCCUGGUGUAGCGGUGAAAUGCGCAGAUAUCAGGAGGAACACCAGCGGCGAAGGCGGCGCUCUGGGCCGGUACUGACACUGAGGAGCGAAAGCGUGGGUAGCAAACAGGAUUAGAUACCCUGGUAGUCCACGCCGUAAACGUUGGGCACUAGGUGUGGGGUCUAUUCAACGGACUCCGUGCCGUCGCUAACGCAUUAAGUGCCCCGCCUGGGGAGUACGGCCGCAAGGCUAAAACUCAAAGGAAUUGACGGGGGCCCGCACAAGCAGCGGAGCAUGUUGCUUAAUUCGAGGCAACGCGAAGAACCUUACCUGGGUUUGACAUGUAGAGAAAAGCCACAGAGAUGUGGUGUCCUUCGGGGUUCUACACA